rnacentral:rRNA from 1 species
AUUGAACGCUGGCGGCAUGCCUUACACAUGCAAGUCGAACGGUAACAGGUCUUCGGAUGCUGACGAGUGGCGAACGGGUGAGUAAUACAUCGGAACGUGCCUAGUAGUGGGGGAUAACUACUCGAAAGAGUGGCUAAUACCGCAUGAGAUCUACGGAGGAAAGCAGGGGAUCGCAAGACCUUGUGCUACUAGAGCGGCCGAUGGCAGAUUAGGUAGUUGGUGGGAUAAAAGCUGACCAAGCCGACGAUCUGUAGCUGGUCUGAGAGGACGAUCAGCCACACUGGGACUGAGACACGGCCCAGACUCCUACGGGAGGCAGCAGUGGGGAAUUUUGGACAAUGGGCGCAAGCCAGAUCCAGCAAUGCCGCGUGCAGGAUGAAGGCCUUCGGGUUGUAAACUGCUUUUGUACGGAACGAAAAGCCCUGGGUUAAUACCCUGGGGUCAUGACGGUACCGUAAGAAUAAGCACCGGCUAACUACGUGCCAGCCGCCGCCGUAACAC